rnacentral:lncRNA from 1 species
AUCAAGGUGUUGCAGUACUUUUUUCCAUGUGUACAUGCAUAUAACAUUGAGGGGUUACCCCUCAUUUGACUGGUUGUUCCCAACCUGAUCAACAUUGAUGAAGCAAAAGGAAAAAAAUAAGAAAAGAGAAACUAUAAAUCAUUUAUAGUUGUCACAGUGAAAAGAAAAGGUAUUUAUGGCAAACUUUAAAAAAUAAGAUUUGAAAUGUUUAAUGUUUUCAGUUGUUU